GGCAGUAGCGCAAAUACCUGCUCCCUGGAUGCAACGCCGGCUGUGGUCUCUGAUGCUGCUUCCGACUUGCCCGUUGCCCGGGGAAGGUCUUGGGCCCCAGCAGUGUUAACCUUCCCCUGCUGCUCUGCAGAGCUCUGGCUGCCGUCCCGCGCCACGCUCCAGGCCACCUUCGCGUGCUUCGCUAAGCUCAGAUAAACUGCAGAGAUGUUUUGGUUUGGCAAAGGCUUUAGUUUUGCAUCCUUAGGAGAGGAAUUGCAAAAUAAUAAGAUAAGCCUGUAGACUAGAAACAAGCUGAAGAAAAACUGUCUCAAGUGUAAAGAUGUCUUUCUUGCCCUGCAAACUUCUGGGGUAAUCUUGUUUUAGGCCACAAAUCCCUGCAGAGGGUUUUGGAAAAUUUGGGAAGCCCUUAGCAUUGCCUUGGGUGUUGCUGUGUCUAAUUUGGGCUGGCUGUACUAAACCAGAGAAAAGAUUUCUUUGCGGGAGCAGGAGCUUAAAAGUAUUGCAGGGGUGGUGAGGGGAAAUAUGUGCUUCCGCCCUGUUUUUUUUGCGGAAGGAGAGGACCUGAAAGGUGGCUCUCUGAAGAAGACGAGAGCGUGGCACUGUCUAGCUCCUGUUUGUCUCCACUCAGAAGUGCUGGCCCAGCUUGCUGUCAGAUGAAAAUGUGUUUAGGAACAAAUGGGGUUAGAUGAGAAGCGUGAAAAUCUACCAGAUUGAAAGACAGACAAGAAAUCUCGGCGCAGACUGCACGCACCUUCACGUUGCAUUAUUUUUGCUCAUGAUUUAACUUCAAAGUCUGACAAACACUCUGGCAGGAGGAGCCCUCUCUUAAGAGUCAACGCUGUCACUCUCUCUGGAUGGUGCAAAGCUCUCCCACCGCUACGAACUCGGGCAGCCAAACCAUAGUGAAACCCACCUUCAAAUUCUGCUCCUUCCAAGCCUGAAAAGCAAGCCGGAAAAUUGACUGGUGCUGCAGCGAGAGCAGUGCCAAUCCACAUGGCGUACGGCAGCGAGGCAGCGUAGGCGAGCAUCCGGUGGCUGCUCUGCCACCCACGGGGCCUUCGCCUGCCAGAGGGGAGACGGUGCCACCGAGGGACACAGACGUGUUCACUGGCUCGAGGGAAGGUGCAAGGCAGGGCCUCAGCGAGCCAGCAGCAGGAAAAUACAUGCAGUGCCUGCAUUCUCAAUAUACCAUGUUUGCAGCACUUCUUUCCAGUGGACGCAGAAGAUGUGCAGAAGCGAUGCUUGAACAGUGGCUCUGUGGAGCUGAUGAGAGCUGGUUUCCAGCCCACACCCCGCAUGAGCAGCUUGAACAGCACAGUCUCUUCGGCCUGGCCUAGAAGAUCAAACUGCUGAGCCUGAGACUCUGGGCAGUGGAGUCCUGCUAAGUGAAAGCACUUUUUAAUGGGAAGCGAAUGGAACUCGUUAGCGUCUGCCAUUUUAUUAUGUAGGUUGAAAAUUACUUAUUAGCAUGGAUGCAUUCACUCUUCAUGCUGAUCAUUCAUAUGUUUUGCUAGAAGAGUACAAGUACAUUUAUCUCCAAGCCAAGGAGUAUCUUGUAUCUCUCUAAAUCAGUGAGCUGAAGACAAAAAAAAAAAAAAAAAAAGAAAAGAAAAGAUGUGGGUACUCAGUAUGUUCCGAUUCCCUUGCCUUGGCAGUAGAAGUCGAGAGUUUGCUGCUCUGUGCUCUUUUGUGCUUUUGUGUCUGCAUGAGAGAACUGAACUGCUGGUAAACUGCCCGGUGGGACUGUGCAAGCAGAGCAGGACGCUGCAGUCCAUCCCCCUUUGCCUCGCAYGGUCUCGUGCCC
ensembl:lncRNA